AUGAAAUGUGUAUUAUUUCAGCGGAGGUUGUUUCAAUUUUCAGCUAGACUAUUAGCUUGUAUUGUGUCAUGUCAUGUGUUGGAAAUUGGAUUCUUCUACAUUCAAUCUUUUGUCAAUAAAGAUGACUACAGACAUGUUACAUCAUAUGAUGGAACUGGUAAGACCAGUGUUUAUUUACUUCGUCUUCAAUGUAAGUCUUGGAUGGUAAUCCUUGAUUUGUUUUUUCUUUUAGCAGAACAAUAA